AAAAAUUACAGACAAACUACCUGCUAGCAAGAAGGAAGCUGAACUGAACCUCGAAUGAAUCCCUUCCUCUCUAGACAACAACUUUUGGGUACCAACACUAGCAAUCUUGACAGACAAGGCCUCUCAACAAUUUGGCUCAGGCAAUUCACAAAGUGAGGAACUGGAUGAAUGAAAACAGCAAGGUGAAGGUGAUUUCAGUACAGAGACUGUGGAAGUUUAUGAUGAAAAGCAGCCAGACGAAUCAUGAUUCUAAUCGAAUGACUUCCAAACAGGGAUGGAAAGUGAACCCAUGGGACUUCACUGACUUCGAACAAUCAACUGUCAAAGGAGUGCAGCAGAGGGAAAGGGGAGUGGUGUGUUAAAGGGACACUUGGCCAUCAGACUUUCACACCACAAGGUGCUCAGGGAUGGUGUUUAGUUUUCCCGGAUAAUUGAGGGGGAAGGUCAUGCCAGUUUUAUUUUGUAACACUAAGAGGAAGCCCUAUAUAUUGAAAUCUAUUCUCAGCUAUUCAGAGGUCUAUGUAAGAUGAGUUUGGUGGUCACAGUCCAGUUCCCAGUGAACAAGCGUCCAUGCUUCAAAAAGUACCACCACAAUUAUUGAAAUCGUACAGGGAGAUUUUCAAAAAUCCCUAAGUGAUAUAAGAGCACAGUCCAACUCCGCCUCUGGGGCUUGUGCUUCUAUAUUUCUUAGGUGCUUCUGAAAGCCUCGCCCCACUUAACAAUUUACUAUAAUUACAAAAAUGUUUAGUCCCCUCCAAUACAUAAGUAUUAUGUUUACAGUAAUAUUAUACUGACUUAAUAUUUUAGAUGCAUCUGAAUGGCUAAAUUUUAUCCUGGAUGAGUUAGUCUGUUAUUUCUAUUUCUAAAAUGCAUUCCUUUGUGACUUAUUGACUGCACAUUUGGUACCUUUUGUUUAAAUAGGUUCAGUCAUUAAUUGAUGUUGAAUUAACUGCUGGCCUCAUGCUAUUUAACAAAAUAGGGCUACAAAAUUAUUUUUACUCAAAUUUGCUACGUUAAUGAAAAAUGUACCAUCUGCCUAGUCAGAUGAAUAGAAGUAAAGUAAAAUCAUCUAAACCCUUCUGAUAUAGAUAAUCUUUAAAUGACAUUUGUGGGACUUUAUGCUAACAGUGCUAAAGUUAAGGUUGCAUUGGUGGCAUUCCCAUUCAAAAAUCUUUGUUUUCAGCGUUUUAUAACUGACUUAAAGAAUUUAAGAUGGAUUUAAAUUUCUAUACUCUGAAUUGAUAUUUUUUAAUGUUUCAUAAAAAUCUGUUUAGCUGGUUUUGAGUUACUCAAAUGAGAGGAAAAAGUGUUUUGUACCUGAAAAAAGUGUCACAGCCUUUUUCUUGGGCUCUGCUCAAACUUGACUGUUUUUUAAAAUGUCAAAUUUGGCAUGAAUACGGAGAAGUGCAUUUGCCUUGAUUAAAGAAAGUUUGUUUUACUUAUAGUGGAUAUAACAGAAGUACAAUUACCAGUGGAUCUAUUGGUAGUCCUUUUGGUCUGCCAGAUGAAAAUUCCUGUCUGUUUCAUGAGGCAAAAUUGCUCUUCCAUCUUUUUACAAUGUCAGGAUGUUUUUUUAAAAGCUGUCAAGGGACAUCUGAGCACUACAGUAGAUCCAACAAAGUAAAAGAGCCUGAACUGCCUCCCAAGUAUCUAAGGUACAGUUCUACAGCAGAAAGGAGAGGCAGAAUAGGCUUUCAGAAGCAGCAGUCUGCACCAGAUUGAAAGUGACAUGCAGAAGAUACAAUGUAAACACGGAGAAAUAUUCCUUCUAUUGGGAAAACUUAAAGGACCCUUAAUACUGUUUCCAAAUAUUAUUUAUCUUUAUGUCACCCAAACUUGUGUUUCUACAGAAUAAAUAUGUCCCCUGCUCACAAGAGCUUGCAAUAUAAUAUUGGACCUGGUCUACACAUGGUUUUUUACUGGUAUAAGAACUGUCAGUUAGGCGAUUGUUUUUUUUGUUUGUUUUGUUUUUUUUACCAACAUGCUUAUACUGGUACAAGCCCUAGUGUGGACACAGUUAUACUGGUAUAAAUGUCUUGUCUUAAGCUACACGAAUAUAAUUGCAUCCACACUAGUGUGGAUGCACUGCUUUAACCAUACCAGUAAACCUAAAGUAUAGCAAAACGUAUGUGUAGAUGAGCUCUUAGAUAUGAUGCCACGACCGGGGCAACAAACAGGUAGGGGGUGGAUGUAGUAUUGUGAGACAAGUGUGUAGUAUAUCCCCAUUUCUCAAAUGGGGAUAUAUUGAAAGUUUAAGGCUAAAACAAUCCAAUAUCCUCACCAAGGCCCUGAGUUUUCAGAGUACUUAGCAUUGUAUAUGAUGAAAGCAGAAUCCCCACUGAUUUAAGUUGCAGCUGUGAGUGCUCAUCACUUUUGCAAAUCAGAUCCCAGAGAGUCAGUCAGUCAGGAAAAUGAGGAAUAUACAAUUAGGAAAAAUUUAGUUUAACUGACUUGCCUAGAGAAUUCAACUGCCUUAACUAUGAGACCAUCCUUCCUUCGUCUGCAAUCCUCUACUUCAUUCACUACACACUUUCAAACUUCUAAAUGAAGUCACGAUCCUACAGACUAUACAGUCUCCUUCAGUGCACAAUCCUGAUUCAUCCUCAGAGCCAGGUCCAUCCUGUGAGUUGAAUGAAGUAGGGGUCCUGUGGAAACAAUAGUAUGUGAUUAUGUAAAUUGAAGACUGUUUCACAGUGCGUAUGCACAGGGUUGCACUUGCAGCCUUAAUUCUGGCAUUUCCUAACUUCUGAAUCCUUGA